GGAAGCAUAUCUGAACUAUAUAUUUCAUCCUGGACGGUUUUCAAAGUAUACGAUUGAUAAAGCUAUCAAGGUUUGAAAACGAACAAGUACAGUACAUGAUGAUACUUUUAAAUUUGCUAAUAGCAGAAUAGUCGUGCACAAUGAAUAUUUCUAAUUCAACAUAUCGUUUGAAGAUAUUUGAUAGUUCCUCACGAAGACCGUUGACAACUGUUAGAAAAACACAUCUGAAAGAACAAGUGAUAGGUCUCGUUGAUGCCCAGGUAUAAUUUUAUAUCCAUGGAUUACAGUACCUUUACUAUCGAUAGCACAACAUACUAUGUACAUUUUGGCAAUGGGCGAUUCCAGCAAAAGACUUAAUUUUGUUCCAGGUAAGAAGAACGCAAUCCAACACCACAGCUAGAAAGAGCAUCUUAAAAUGAGUAAAACUGCAAAGAUUGGUUGCGAAAUGUUGCAAAAUGAAGAAAAUAUAGCCCUGUGAAGUUCGCAAAUUCUGCAUAUAUUUGUAUUACGCGCGGUAAAAAUAACCACUUCCGACUCAAAAAUGGUUAUUUUUCCCGCGCGUAAUGCAAAUAUAUACAAAAUUUGCGAACUUCAUAGGGCUAUAUUUUCCUUAUUUUACAAAAAUUUGCAACCAAACUUUGCAAUAAAUUUUACUCAUUUUAAGAUGCUCUUUCCAGCGAUGGUAAUGAAUUUCGUUCUUCUUGUGUAGAUCAAUAUUUCGUCUAUAGCCGGAAACAUCCGUUGUCCUUCCAACAAUAUCAUACAGUGAAAAUAUUUUAUUGUUGUUCGUUUAGGUUCAAAGUUCUGCGAACAGGAACGAGCUGGAGUUUCAUGAAUUUUCAGAUUUACAACUGCAGAUGUGGUCGAGAUUUUAUGCCUGUGUUGUACAAUAUCAUGAGGUACUGUAAGAAUCAUGAGGUACUGUAAGAGCCUUGACAUUAUGCGUCGAUACGAAAAACUGCUGCAAACUCUUUGCAAACUUCAGAUAACAAGAUUAGGGUCGGAUUUUGCCAAAAGCUACAAUCCUGG
rnacentral:lncRNA from 1 species